AGGUUCCACCGAGUUUUGCCCUCGGAUCUCUGGAUUCAAAAUCCAGAGUACUAACCAUUACACCAUGGAACC
rnacentral:tRNA from 1 species